GAUGAACGCUAGCGGGAGGCCUAAUACAUGCAAGUCGAACGGUAACAGGGUAGCAAUACCGCUGACGAGUGGCGCACGGGUGAGUAACACGUACACAAUCUGCCUUAUACUGGAGCAUACCCCCAAGAAAUUGGGACUAAUUCUCCAUAGCAUAUCGAAGAGGCAUCUCUUUGAUAUUAAAACUCCGGUGGUAUAAGAUGAGUGUGCGUCUGAUUAGCUAGUUGGUAGGGUAACGGCCUACCAAGGCAACGAUCAGUAACGGGUCUGAGAGGAUGAUCAGUCACACGGACACUGAGACACGGGUCCGACUCCUACGGGAGGCAGCAGUAGGGAAUAUUGGACAAUGGGCGCAAGCCUGAUCCAGCCAUCCCGCGUGAAGGAUUAAGGCCCUCUGGGUUGUAAACUUCUUUUUUGGGGGAAUAAAAACUGGAUUUAUCCUGGCUUGAAGGUACCCCAAGAAUAAGCACCGGCUAACUCCGUGCCAGCCGCCGCGGUAACAC
rnacentral:rRNA from 1 species